ensembl:miRNA
GGCGGCGGCGCGGGCGGCAGUGGCGGGAGCGGCCCCUCGGCCAUCCUCCGUCUGCCCAGUUACCGCUUCCGCUACCGCCGCCGCUCCCGCU